GAUGAACGCUAGCGGCAGGCCUAAUACAUGCAAGUCGGACGGGAUUGAGGAGCUUGCUUCUCAUGAGAGUGGCGCACGGGUGCGUAACACGUAUGUACCCUACCUUAGUCAGGGGGAUAGCCUCUCGAAAGAGAGAUUAACACCGCAUAACAUUAUGAUAUGGCAUCAUAUUAUAAUCAAAUAUUUAUAGGACUAAGAUGGGCAUGCGGAACAUUAGCUAGUUGGUAAGGUAACGGCUUACCAAGGCUACGAUGUUUAGGGGAUCUGAGAGGAUGACCCCCCACACUGGUACUGAGACACGGACCAGACUCCUACGGGAGGCAGCAGUAAGGAAUAUUGGUCAAUGGACGCAAGUCUGAACUAGCCAUGCCGCGUGCAGGAAGACGGCCCUACGGGUUGUAAACUGCUUUUGUACCGGAAUAAACCUUUGUAUGUAUACGAAGCUGAAUGUACGGUAAGAAUAAGGAUCGGCUAACUCCGUGCCAGCCGCCGCGGUAA
rnacentral:rRNA from 1 species